GAACGCUGGCGGCGUGCCUAAUACAUGCAAGUCGAACGAACUCUGGUAUUGAUUGGUGCUUGCAUCAUGAUUUACAUUUGAGUGAGUGGCGAACUGGUGAGUAACACGUGGGAAACCUGCCCAGAAGCGGGGGAUAACACCUGGAAACAGAUGCUAAUACCGCAUAACAACUUGGACCGCAUGGUCCGAGCUUGAAAGAUGGCUUCGGCUAUCACUUUUGGAUGGUCCCGCGGCGUAUUAGCUAGAUGGUGGGGUAACGGCUCACCAUGGCAAUGAUACGUAGCCGACCUGAGAGGGUAAUCGGCCACAUUGGGACUGAGACACGGCCCAAACUCCUACGGGAGGCAGCAGUAGGGAAUCUUCCACAAUGGACGAAAGUCUGAUGGAGCAACGCCGCGUGAGUGAAGAAGGGUUUCGGCUCGUAAAACUCUGUUGUUAAAGAAGAACAUAUCUGAGAGUAACUGUUCAGGUAUUGACGGUAUUUAACCAGAAAGCCACGGCUAACUACGUGCCAGCAGCCGCGGUAAUACGUAGGUGGCAAGCGUUGUCCGGAUUUAUUGGGCGUAAAGCGAGCGCAGGCGGUUUUUUAAGUCUGAUGUGAAAGCCUUCGGCUCAACCGAAGAAGUGCAUCGGAAACUGGGAAACUUGAGUGCAGAAGAGGACAGUGGAACUCCAUGUGUAGCGGUGAAAUGCGUAGAUAUAUGGAAGAACACCAGUGGCGAAGGCGGCUGUCUGGUCUGUAACUGACGCUGAGGCUCGAAAGUAUGGGUAGCAAACAGGAUUAGAUACCCUGGUAGUCCAUACCGUAAACGAUGAAUGCUAAGUGUUGGAGGGUUUCCGCCCUUCAGUGCUGCAGCUAACGCAUUAAGCAUUCCGCCUGGGGAGUACGGCCGCAAGGCUGAAACUCAAAGGAAUUGACGGGGGCCCGCACAAGCGGUGGAGCAUGUGGUUUAAUUCGAAGCUACGCGAAGAACCUUACCAGGUCUUGACAUACUAUGCAAAUCUAAGAGAUUAGACGUUCCCUUCGGGGACAUGGAUACAGGUGGUGCAUGGUUGUCGUCAGCUCGUGUCGUGAGAUGUUGGGUUAAGUCCCGCAACGAGCGCAACCCUUAUUAUCAGUUGCCAGCAUUAAGUUGGGCACUCUGGUGAGACUGCCGGUGACAAACCGGAGGAAGGUGGGGAUGACGUCAAAUCAUCAUGCCCCUUAUGACCUGGGCUACACACGUGCUACAAUGGAUGGUACAACGAGUUGCGAACUCGCGAGAGUAAGCUAAUCUCUUAAAGCCAUUCUCAGUUCGGAUUGUAGGCUGCAACUCGCCUACAUGAAGUCGGAAUCGCUAGUAAUCGCGGAUCAGCAUGCCGCGGUGAAUACGUUCCCGGGCCUUGUACACACCGCCCGUCACACCAUGAGAGUUUGUAACACCCAAAGUCGGUGGGGUAACCUUUUAGGAACCAGCCGCCUAAGGUGGGACAGAUGAUUAGG
rnacentral:rRNA from 2 species